GACGAACGCUGGCGGCGUGCUUAACACAUGCAAGUCGAACGCUGAAGCUUGGUGCUUGCACUGGGUGGAUGAGUGGCGAACGGGUGAGUAAUACGUGAGUAACCUGCCCUUGACUCUGGGAUAAGCCUGGGAAACUGGGUCUAAUACUGGAUACGACAUGUCACCGCAUGGUGGUGUGUGGAAAGGGUUUUACUGGUUUUGGAUGGGCUCACGGCCUAUCAGCUUGUUGGUGGGGUAAUGGCUCACCAAGGCGACGACGGGUAGCCGGCCUGAGAGGGUGACCGGCCACACUGGGACUGAGACACGGCCCAGACUCCUACGGGAGGCAGCAGUGGGGAAUAUUGCACAAUUGGCGGAAGCCUGAUGCAGCGACGCCGCGUGAGGGAUGACGGCCUUCGGGUUGUAAACCUCUUUCAGCACGGAAGAAGCGAAAGUGACGGUACGUGCAGAAGAAGCGCCGGCUAACUACGUG
rnacentral:rRNA from 1 species